rnacentral:lncRNA from 1 species
CCUCAUCCAACUAUCGGCCGCGCAUUGCCACUUUCGGCACAACCACCUCAACGUCGGCCUCAACACCGCCUCAAAACCUAACACCACCACGAAGUUAAAACCAGCAGCUCCCUUGCUUACAAGCAAAAAACUCAUUUUGCUUGUAGAAGCUCAGAAAAAUGGCUCCGAUUUCUUCAACAGUAACAUUGGAAUAAUUGAACGUGUCUCGGAACGGUUUUAGUUUUUUUUUGUUGUCCUUUGCCACAUUUCCAAUUAUUAUGAACAAGAACUUAUCAACAGCUAAAAUUGAGACUCACAAUUAUUCAAGGAUGACACAGAGUCUAAAAACAAUGAGCUUAAAUCAGAUACAGAAGUUUACGUUGAUAACAACACAUUUAAAUUUUAUCUGAGAAAAUAAAAAAUGAGGUAAAAAUUUCAAAAUCGUAAACCAAAAAUUUCUCCUGGAAUUGGGGAAUACUAUGAAUUAAGUUGCCAAAAUCUUUCAUAUACCGCAGCAGCAAGUUACUCGAGGACAGCGACUAAAUAAAUCUAAGAACCGACACCGACACGUUCAACGUACUUCCCAGCCUUGAGAAAACAGGCGAUACGGAAUUGGAGGCCACCUUGCUGCUCCCAGACGUAGCCUUCUCUGCGGCUUCAGAUCCAAGCGUUUCACACCAACCCAUCAUCUGUUAUGAAGAAUUGCAUGUAAAAGUAUUUAAUUCGUUCAUGUUUUGAGAGUGUGUGUGUGUGUGCGCGCAAAAUCAAUUGUAAUGAACUUAAUGGUAGUGCCUAGUUUUAAGGUUGACGUUGAGAUCGCGGUACCAGUGACGACAAUGGUGUUUGACAGCUGCGUGGGGGUGGUUGUGGUUUUAGGAUGAAGGAUUGGGGAAUAAUGAGAUCGGGGGAGGGGUCGUUGUGGUUGUGGUUGUGGUUGUGGUUGUGGUUGUGAUUGUG